rnacentral:rRNA from 1 species
GGGUUGUGAGGUUAAGCGAACAAGCGUACACGGUGGAUGCCCUGGCAGUCAGAGGCGAUGAAGGACGUGCUAAUCUGCGAAAAGCGCCGGUAAGGUGAUAUGAACCGUUAUAACCGGCGAUGUCCGAAUGGGGAAACCCGGUGCACUUCGGUGCAUCAUCGUUAGCUGAAUACAUAGGCUAACGAGGCGAACCGGGGGAACUGAAACAUCUAAGUACCCCGAGGAAAAGAAAUCAACCGAGAUUCCCCCAGUAGCGGCGAGCGAACGGGGAACAGCCCAGAGCCUGAAUCAGCUUGUGUGUCAGUGGAACGGUCUGGAAAGGCCGGCGAUACAGGGUGACAGCCCCGUACACGAAGGCACACAGGCUGUGAGCUCGAUGAGUAGGGCGGGACACGUGAUAUCCUGUCUGAAGAUGGGGGGACCAUCCUCCAAGGCUAAAUACUCCUGACUGACCGAUAGUGAACCAGUACCGUGAGGGAAAGGCGAAAAGAACCCCGGCGAGGGGAGUGAAACAGAACCUGAAACCGUGUACGUACAAGCAGUGGGAGCCUUCGUAAGAGGGUGACUGCGUACCUUUUGUAUAAUGGGUCAGCGACUUAUAUUCUGUAGCAAGGUUAACCGUAUAGGGGAGCCGAAGGGAAACCGAGUCUUAAUUGGGCGUUAAGUUGCAGGGUAUAGACCCGAAACCCGGUGAUCUAGCCAUGGGCAGGUUGAAGGUUGGGUAACACUAACUGGAGGACCGAACCGACUAAUGUUGAAAAAUUAGCGGAUGACCUGUGGCUGGGGGUGAAAGGCCAAUCAAACCGGGAGAUAGCUGGUUCUCCCCGAAAGCUAUUUAGGUAGCGCCUCGUGAACUCAUCUCCGGGGGUAGAGCACUGUUUCGGCUAGGGGGCCAUCCCGGCUUACCAACCCGAUGCAAACUGCGAAUACCGGAGAAUGUUAUCACGGGAGACACACGGCGGGUGCUAACGUCCGUCGUGAAGAGGGAAACAACCCAGACCGCCAGCUAAGGUCCCAAAGUCAUGGUUAAGUGGGAAACGAUGUGGGAAGGCCCAGACAGCCAGGAUGUUGGCUUAGAAGCAGCCAUCAUUUAAAGAAAGCGUAAUAGCUCACUGGUCGAGUCGGCCUGCGCGGAAGAUGUAACGGGGCUAAACCAUGCACCGAAGCUGCGGCAGCGACACUGUGUGUUGUUGGGUAGGGGAGCGUUCUGUAAGCCUGCGAAGGUGUGCUGUGAGGCAUGCUGGAGGUAUCAGAAGUGCGAAUGCUGACAUAAGUAACGAUAAAGCGGGUGAAAAGCCCGCUCGCCGGAAGACCAAGGGUUCCUGUCCAACGUUAAUCGGGGCAGGGUGAGUCGACCCCUAAGGCGAGGCCGAAAGGCGUAGUCGAUGGGAAACAGGUUAAUAUUCCUGUACUUGGUGUUACUGCGAAGGGGGGACGGAGAAGGCUAUGUCGGCCGGGCGACGGUUGUCCCGGUUUAAGCGUGUAGGCUGACUUUCCAGGCAAAUCCGGAAGGUUAAGGCUGAGGCGUGAUGACGAGGCACCACGGUGCUGAAGUGACAAAUGCCCUGCUUCCAGGAAAAGCCUCUAAGCAUCAGGUAACAUCAAAUCGUACCCCAAACCGACACAGGUGGUCAGGUAGAGAAUACCAAGGCGCUUGAGAGAACUCGGGUGAAGGAACUAGGCAAAAUGGUGCCGUAACUUCGGGAGAAGGCACGCUGACAUGUAGGUGAAGCCCCUGCGGGUGGAGCUGAAGUCAGUCGAAGAUACCAGCUGGCUGCAACUGUUUAUUAAAAACACAGCACUGUGCAAACACGAAAGUGGACGUAUACGGUGUGACGCCUGCCCGGUGCCGGAAGGUUAAUUGAUGGGGUUAUCGCAAGAGAAGCUCCUGAUCGAAGCCCCGGUAAACGGCGGCCGUAACUAUAACGGUCCUAAGGUAGCGAAAUUCCUUGUCGGGUAAGUUCCGACCUGCACGAAUGGCGUAAUGAUGGCCAGGCUGUCUCCACCCGAGACUCAGUGAAAUUGAACUCGCUGUGAAGAUGCAGUGUACCCGCGGCAAGACGGAAAGACCCCGUGAACCUUUACUACAGCUUGACACUGAACAUUGAGCCUUGAUGUGUAGGAUAGGUGGGAGGCUUUGAAGCGUGGACGCCAGUCUGCGUGGAGCCGACCUUGAAAUACCACCCUUUAAUGUUUGAUGUUCUAACCUGGCGCCGUGAUCCGGCGUGGGGACAGUGUCUGGUGGGUAGUUUGACUGGGGCGGUCUCCUCCCAAAGUGUAACGGAGGAGCACGAAGGUCAGCUAAUCCUGGUCGGACAUCAGGAGGUUAGUGCAAUGGCAUAAGCUGGCUUGACUGCGAGAGUGACGGCUCGAGCAGGUGCGAAAGCAGGUCAUAGUGAUCCGGUGGUUCUGUAUGGAAGGGCCAUCGCUCAACGGAUAAAAGGUACUCCGGGGAUAACAGGCUGAUACCGCCCAAGAGUUCAUAUCGACGGCGGUGUUUGGCACCUCGAUGUCGGCUCAUCACAUCCUGGGGCUGAAGUAGGUCCCAAGGGUAUGGCUGUUCGCCAUUUAAAGUGGUACGCGAGCUGGGUUUAGAACGUCGUGAGACAGUUCGGUCCCUAUCUGCCGUGGGCGCUGGAGAAUUGAGGGGGGCUGCUCCCAGUACGAGAGGACCGGAGUGGACGCAUCACUGGUGUUCGGGUUGUCAUGCCAAUGGCACUGCCCGGUAGCUAAAUGCGGAAGAGAUAAGUGCUGAAAGCAUCUAAGCACGAAACUUGCCCCGAGAUGAGUUCUCCCUGAGACUGUAAGUCUCCUGAAGGAACGUUGAAGACGACGACGUUGAUAGGCCGGGUGUGUAAGCGCAGCGAUGCGUUGAGCUAACCGGUACUAAUGAACCGUGAGGCUUAACCUUACAACGCCAAAGAAGU